rnacentral:rRNA from 2 species
AUGACCCCAGGUCAGUCGGGACUACC